CAGCACAUUCUGUACAUAUGAGGGGCUGCAACAAGUAAAACUGAAACUGACAGCAAAACCGAUCUGAAUCAAUCUGAACAACUGAUCCCAGAAUAUCACAGAGAGGAGAGAAGUAAGACACCAAGGAUGGCUUGCAUCGUGGAGAGUUGUGCCUGUGCAGUUACAGAAGCCGGCGCUGAAGUGGCAAUGCAGGGUGUGACUAUAUCCCCUUUUUGUGGUGUGCUGAUUUUUGCUGGGGUAGUGGGAGUAGCAGUGGGAGUGGCCGUGUACAAGCACCUGGACAACAAAGAGAAACAAAAGGGAAGCUGAUAGAAGAGCUCAUUCCUCUAAAAUUAACUGCCAAAGCAUCAAUGUAAUCAUGACUCCAUAAUAAAAACAAACUUGGCAGACGAACUGUGAUUUUGAAAUUAAUUUUUGUAUUGACAUUCACAUUUAUUCCUACUGCUCACAGAUGACACUGCCGUUUUUCAAAGCAUAGUUUUAGCUUCAGUUACCUCAGGCUGACACACAGCAUUCAGUAACUGUAAAAAACUUAUGGAGGUGAAGAUAUUUUAUGAUUUAAUGAUUUAAUGGCUGCUUUAAGUUGCUCCACUCCCAUGCUCCAUGUUCUCUGAGAUAGCACCAUCUGAGGGAAAUAAGAAAAGUCAUUUGUCUUAUGACACAGAACGUUUAAAACCUGGCUGCAGUGGAGUUACCCAUCCUUCUUCUACACUUGGCCUUAAUCUAUUCCACCUUUUUGUCAUAGCCAUUCACUUUCCCCUGCCUUGCAGCAAUAAUGCUUCCUAACAUAAAAAAAAAAGUUUUUAAAAGGAAAGAAAACAGCAGAAUGUCAAUCUCUCUUUUCCUUUUGAUUCAAAAAUAAAUAUUUUUCCUUGUAAUAUAGCAGUAGGCCUAUUUAAAAUGCAAGGACAGCCAUUUCUUAAUUCACCAACCAUUAUUGUUUGAGGGCACAUGGUUAAGAAUAUCGAUCUUGAUGCAAACCAUCUUUUGAUAGUCGUCUAAAAAAAACACAGGGUAGAAGAGGCAGAACCAAAAUAAAUGUGACAUAUGUUCAGUUUUAGAUUUACAGAAACAACAGUUUCCAUCCAUCUUUUUUUUUUGUCGGCAGUAUUUUGCAUCAAGUUUUUAAGCGCACUCUUAACAUGCAGCCUGAGUAUAAUGUAGCACCAUGUGAUUUUGCCAAGUAUGCUCCUGGAUCAACACCCCACAUUGCGUUUACCUGUGCUUCUUUCAAAAAUCCUAGUUUUCCAAAUUGAAGUUAGUAAAGUUAAAACAAACAAACAAACAAAAAAAAACCACUCUGAACAAAAGCCUUUUCAGCUACGGCAGGGUUAGCGACUUAGCUUGCUAAACUACGUUGGCUAUGCUAAUGAGUAAACUUGCCAAUAGAUGAGAAUAUUGGCGAGCUAGCUUGCUAACUAUGUAUUUAAGCUAACAAGUAUGCUUGGCAAAAGGCUAGAAUGUUAGCGAGCUAGCUUACUAACUAGGUAGUUAUGCUAACAUGUAAGCUUGCCAAUAGAUGUUAGCGAGCUAGCUUGCUAGCUAGGUAGUUAAGCUAACAAGUAAGCUUGCCAAUAGGCUAAAAUGUUAAGCUGUUCACUAACAAAGAGCUGCAAAUUCCUGCAAUUAACACAUUUAUAAUUUUUUUGUUUAAUUUUAUUGAGAAUUUUGUUCAAUUUUAUUAUCUUAAAUUUGUAAAACUAGCUCUGAAGGAGCACAAAGGAAUUUUGAACAAAGCACAGGAGCAGCACACUGAUGAUGUCAGAGGGCUGUGAUUGGUUGGUUGGUUGUAAUGUUGUUCCUGGAAUGUGAUUUGGGAUGUUGAUCCAGGAGCAUGUCCUACCUAGCAAAAUCACAUUGUGCGUAUAGCGUAGUUUAGUUUUAGAGGGCUUAUCAGUGAUAUAAAUGCAUACCCCCGAACCAGUCUGAUGACUCUGGUCACAUUUAGAUUAUCAUUACACUCCUUUUAGUUAUGUAAAAUAAACUUCUAUUUGUUGCAACUCAUGUGUAGUCUCCCCACCUCUGUCCCGGCUUGAGCCAGGUUGUGACACCAUUGCACAUAACAUUGUGACUUAAAAUGGCAGCCGAACAGAAAGAGUGGAAACACAGAACAUCCUGAUCCUGUACAUGUGUGAAGUGCAGUAAAAUGCACACCAUCUGUGGUUUUACAGUGCCCCGACAUUUGCAACAUAUUUGAAUCUCAUGUUGCCCGUUGAGUAUAUCAACAACAUCAAAAAACAGGCUCAACGGACUGAGAUGCCCAUCUAGUUGGUUAAAUAGUUUAUUUGUGGCCAAAACUAAAUAUUACUGUGGAAUACAACAUUUUCUGAUGACAAGCUGUGGCCCAUCCAAUAAAUGUCCAAUAAAUCUGAAAUCUUUGGUUAGUUGAGUUUUUUAUUGACUAAAGGAAUCAACAAAGUAAGAAAAUAAACAACUGCUUGUUCCUACUUUAAUGCAGACUAGAAUAGCAGGAAGGGUGGAACCACAGCACUUAGGCAUGAGAGGCUGAAACUGAAACCAACAACAUAACUUCACAUUGCAUCUGAGUGAUACAGCUAAUCCGAGAACAUCACUGAGACAAGAAAAAUAAUAUAACGAGGAUGGGCAUUGCAGUGAGUGUGGAAGCUAUAACUUGUGGUGCCUUGUCGGUCAGUGGCUUGACUAUAUCCACCGCUGGUUUCGUGAUUUUUGGAGUUGUGGCAGUGGCAGCAAUGGUAGCAGGAGUGUUUGUGUACAAGCACAUGCGCAAAGAAAAGUCGCACUGACAGAAGAGAUCAUUCCUCUCAAAGUACCUGCAUGGCGCUGCACAGUGGCAACGGGUGCCUGUGAUACAUCAGUUUGUUUGUGAAUUAUGUUGCCCAUAGUCGAAGCCUGUGGAGUGCACUGCUGUUGACCAUCUGACUUUAAAUGUAGUGUAUUUUGUUGUACCAAGUGUAUCUGGAAUCAGCAAUAAAAACAAAAUGCAGACCUA